CGCGUGAGGGAUGACGGCCUUCGGGUUGUAAACCUCUUUUAGUAGGGAAGAAGCGAAAGUGACGGUACCUGCAGAAAAAGCACCGGCUAACUACGUGCCAGCAGCCGCGGUAAUACGUAGGGUGCAAGCGUUGUCCGGAAUUAUUGGGCGUAAAGAGCUCGUAGGCGGUUUGUCGCGUCUGCUGUGAAAUCCCGAGGCUCAACCUCGGGUCUGCAGUGGGUACGGGCAGACUAGAGUGUGGUAGGGGAGAUUGGAAUUCCUGGUGUAGCGGUGGAAUGCGCAGAUAUCAGGAGGAACACCGAUGGCGAAGGCAGAUCUCUGGGCCAUUACUGACGCUGAGGAGCGAAAGCAUGGGGAGCGAACAGGAUUAGAUACCCUGGUAGUCCAUGCCGUAAACGUUGGGCGCUAGAUGUGGGGACCAUUCCACGGUUUCCGUGUCGUAGCUAACGCAUUAAGCGCCCCGCCUGGGGAGUACGGCCGCAAGGCUAAAACUCAAAGGAAUUGACGGGGGCCCGCACAAGCGGCGGAGCAUGCGGAUUAAUUCGAUGCAACGCGAAGAACCUUACCAAGGCUUGACAUAUACCGGAAACGUUCAGAAAUGUUCGCCCCGCAAGGUCGGUAUACAGGUGGUGCAUGGUUGUCGUCAGCUCGUGUCGUGAGAUGUUGGGUUAAGUCCCGCAACGAGCGCAACCCUCGUCGUAUGUUGCCAGCACGUAAUGG
rnacentral:rRNA from 1 species